rnacentral:rRNA from 1 species
GACGAACGCUGGCGGCGUGCUUAACACAUGCCAGUCGAACGGAAAGGCCCUGCUUUUGUGGGGUGCUCGAGUGGCGAACGGGUGAGUAACACGUGAGUAACCUGCCCUUGACUUUGGGAUAACUUCAGGAAACUGGGGCUAAUACCGGAUAGGAGCUCCUGCUGCAUGGUGGGGGUUGGAAAGUUUCGGCGGUUGGGGAUGGACUCGCGGCUUAUCAGCUUGUUGGUGGGGUAGUGGCUUACCAAGGCUUUGACGGGUAGCCGGCCUGAGAGGGUGACCGGCCACAUUGGGACUGAGAUAUGGCCCAGACUCCUACGGGAGGCAGCAGUGGGGAAUAUUGCACAAUGGGCGGAAGCCUGAUGCAGCAACGCCGCGUGCGGGAUGACGGCCUUCGGGUUGUAAACCGCUUUCGCCUGUGACGAAGCGUGAGUGACGGUAAUGGGUAAAGAAGCACCGGCUAACUACGUG